AAGAUUUUGAGCUGCAUAAGAAAGAAAAAAUCCAGUAGAAGACUUUAAAUGGAUGAAAAAUAUGACAAGAUAUAUAUAUGGUAAAAAUCCAGAAUGGAGCAAGCGAUGAGAUUCUUGUACAUCGUUGUAUAUUCCCUGUAAUGUGAAAAUGAAGCACUGGAUUGCACUUAAAAUGGACUUUGCCGAACGAACUAUAUAUGUAUAUGACAGCAUGAAGAGUUUGACUUAUUUUGAAAAAUUGCAAAAAAUCAUGCGUCCAAUUGUGAAGGUGAUUCCUAGAAUGAUGAAGGAAAGUUUGUUAUUCGGGGAAAACUACCCACACGAGCAGUUUCUAUGGCGUCGACAUACAGACGUUCCACAACAAAACAAUGCGUAAAUAAUCUAUCUUUAAAA
rnacentral:lncRNA from 1 species